UGUUUUGAAACCCCUACGACUGAGGUCUUGUUCCAGUUCAGCACCCACCAAGCCUGUGAGGCGUUGGCACAGCCCAGUUUUCAGAGCUGCGGCCGCUGGAGAGCCGCCAACAGGAAAUACGCCAUCGUUCUGCGCAGCGUCUUGGCCUCGGCGCACUCUAGGAAGGUGUUGGGAUUGAUCUGCGGAACACCAUGAGAACAUAGCCCGACUUCCCUCACUUCGAGUACAGAAAAUCCCUGAAGUGUACCAAAUCUGAGAGAUAAGAGCUGAAUUCCAGUUUCAAUAAGGAAAACAAUGUACAGAAAUUCAAAGUAACUUGACCAAGUUAACAUUGCUCUCAAGAAUCAAGACUAGAAUUUGAAUCAAAAGAGACGAAAUCCAAAGGUAU